GCAUGUCUAAGUAUAAGCGACUAUACUGUGAAACUGCGAAUGGCUCAUUAAAUCAGUUAUGGUUUAUUUGAUGGUACCUACUACUUGGAUAACCGUAGUAAUUCUAGAGCUAAUACAUGCAGGAAGACCCGACUUCGGAAGGGUUGUAUUUAUUAGAUAAGAAACCAAUCCAGCUUGCUGGUUGCGUGCCGAGUCACAAUAACUGCUCGAAUCGCAUGACUUUACGUCGGCGAUGGUUCAUUCAAAUUUCUGCCCUAUCAGCUUUCGAUGGUAGGAUCGAGGCCUACCAUGGCGUUUACGGGUAACGGAGAAUUAGGGUUCGAUUCCGGAGAGGGAGCCUGAGAAAUGGCUACCACAUCCAAGGAAGGCAGCAGGCGCGUAAAUUGCCCGAAUCCUGACACAGGGAGGUAGUGACAAGAAAUAACGAUACAGGGCUACAUCUAGUCUUGUAAUUGGAAUGAGUACAAUUUACAUCUCUUAACGAUGAUCAAUUGGAGGGCAAGUCUGGUGCCAGCAGCCGCGGUAAUUCCAGCUCCAAUAGCGUAUAUUAAAGUUGUUGCAGUUAGAACGCUCGUAGUCGGAUUUCGGGGCAGUCCGACCGGUCUGCCGAUGGGUAUGCACUGGCCGGAGUGUCCUUUUUGCCGGAGACCGUGCCUACUCUUAACUGAGCGGGGGCGGGAGACGGCACUUUUACUU
rnacentral:rRNA from 1 species